rnacentral:rRNA from 1 species
UACGUAGGGGGCAAGCGUUAUCCGGAUUUACUGGGUGUAAUGGGGGCGCAGACGGCGAUGCAAGCCAGGAGUGAAAGCCCGGGGCCCAACCCCGGGACUGCUCUUGGAACUGCGUGGCUGGAGUGCAGGAGGGGCAGGCGGAAUUCCUGGUGUAGCGGUGAAAUGCGUAGAUAUCAGGAGGAACACCGGUGGCGAAGGCGGCCUGCUGGACUGCAACUGACGUUGAGGCCCGAAAGCGUGGGGAGCAAACAGG